UCAGACAAGCCCUUGUCCAGGUCUGGCUCUUGGAAAGUGAACACAGCUCAUCAAAUGCAUUUCUGCAGUCAGAAAGUAAAAGUGGGCUGCAUCUUCAUGGCUUCCCCCUAUGGUCUGACCAGGUCAGAAGCAAUUCUGAAGAAAAGGGUAAAGCCCAUCCAGGAGAGUGAGCUGGAGGUGGUGUUUCCUGUUUCCUGCCCCACAGCACGAGGAGGGAUUGCUAACUGGGACCAGCAGUGGGAUUUUUUCCUUGCCUAUGUGUUAAAUCACCUGCCUUUUCCUGCAGUCCCGAGAGGAAAAGAGCUUUGGCUCUCUCUGCACUGAAGGUGCCCUGGGACAGUGAGCUGUGGUCCAGCUCCCCUCCUCACUGACACUGGCCAGGCACUCCUGAGGAAAGGAUGGGCAGAGCCAUUUGGAGAGCCUGUCCCCUGGCUGACUGGAGCAGUGGGAAUGAAAUGAAUGAUUAAAUAAACGUGGUCACUACUGCACACCCUCCCUCCACCAGUACUUCCAAAGCACUGAAAUGUCCUAUUUCAGAUUUGAUAUCUGCUAUCAAUUGAGAUUGAAGAUAUUGAUCCAGGCUGAUUGCUGGGGAUAAUCAGUAAGUGGAGGGGUAAUUGACUGUCAUGUCUCUCAUUGAUUGGGCACCACAGUUCACAGCAGCCAACAUUAUUUUCGAGCACUUUGCAGCAUCUUCUUCAAUAAAGAAAUACAGACUUUAAGUAACAGUGAUUUAUGUGUACUGCCAUUUAGAGAGUGGAUGAGGACAACCUUAGCCAACAUGUCCUUGCCUUAAACAAACUUAAAGGUGUCAGCAGGAGAGUGCUGGAGCAGGAAAGCUUGGAUUUUGGUUUGCACAUGUGUCACUGUGAGCCAACACCCUGCUGUGGAACCAUCCCACUCGCUGCUUGGCUGCAACAGAUACUAACAGAGGACCUCUGAGACAGCAAAGGCGCUGCACAUGGGCCAGGAGAGUGUGACCUCCUCUCUAGGUUGUUUGAAAUGUUAAAGCAACAAAUACUUUAUACCAUGUAUUCUACCAGGGCUUGUUAGAAGCUGAUCCAAAAAAACUGCCCCGGGAGAAGAACAAAUCAGGAAACAUCCCAAGUUGCUGCAAUCAAAUCCACAAAAAGUUCACAUAAAAUUUUUAUAUAUAAUCAGAAGGAUGGGAAAAUUACCUUAUUUCCUGCUAUGCACUUCAGAUUAGUAUAGACAAACACUAUUCAAUCCUAAUACUUAUGGUGACCAUGAAACCUCUUUCUGUACUUACCAGGAACCAGGCAGAUAAAAUUGCUUUUCUUCCAGAAGAGAGACAGGGUUAGUAGUGUCUGCUGUUGUUUUUUAACAGUCUGUACUACCUGAUUUUGCUGCCCCUCAUCUGCAAGCUCUUUUGGAUAGGAGCUACUCCGUGUGAACAGAGGUCCAGUGAAAUGAAUGGGAUUGAGUUGUUCAAUUAAUUCUUGUACCUAAAUACCUUAAUGAACUUGCCUUUUUAAGUGGGUUCAGGGAUGAAGGUCCCAAUUUUGACUCCACAAAGCCCAGAAAUGGUUACAUUCCGGUUAUGGCUAAAGCAAAGCAGGCUGCAGAGUUACUGUACAUGCUGGUUUCCCACCUGAACAUUGUUUAUAGGCAGAUUUGGAGGCUUUUCUUGUGUUUGUCUCAGAUUUCUCAAUGUCUGGCAGCCUGUUGGGAGCUGCCAGAUGUCCAGAGUCGCUGACCUCGCCUGCUAAGCAUGCACAAGCUCUUUCACUGCAGGCUCAAAGCAAGCCCAGUGCCUCCAGCACCACGGGGUUGGCCAUGCAAGUGGUGUCUGGCCCUUUGAAGAGUGUGGAGGAAGCCCAGGAGAUGCCAGGGAUUGUGUCUUCAGCCCAUCCCAGCAGCACAGCCAGCUUCAGUCGCUGUGGUGCAUCCUGAAAUCCUUGUCCAAGUGGGCAGCACUAUUUGUUCAAGCCAUUUGAGAUUCAGGAGCAAUAUAGUGGUGGGAAAACGUGCAGGAAGAUGUCCGUGGACUUUGUGAAUGUAUGUAAAGCAUGAAGGCAACUCUGAUAGAUCUGCAAGUGUGUAGCCACUGCUCCUCGAGCACUUGCUCUAAGCCCCAAAGUUGGCUUUUUCCAUACAAAUGGGGCUUAAUGAGCUACCCCUGACAUUACCCAGAUUUCUCAUUAAUUUCCUUCCCAGUUUUCAGGUGGUCAAACCCCAUUUCAGUGAGUUUUGGAUGCUUCUCACCCACCAUAGUUGCUGAAUCGAGCUGUUCCUCACCUUGGGUUUCAGUCUGUUAAACAGCUCAGCCCAGCCUGCUUUUGGUUUGCUUUGUCUUUACUUUUUGGUGCUGCUGGUGAACCGAAACACCCAUCUCUUGUGUCGAGGGCAGGGCUGACUGGGGAAGUCACUGAAGCCACCGAAAUUUCACAGUGACAGGUGGCAGCCCUGCGGGCAUGGCUCAUGAGUCAGCCACACCGCGGGGCAGCGAGGGCGCCUGAAGAGGUUUCUCAUCCCACCCAAGUUUCCUUUCCUGGGAAGCAGGGUGGCUGUGCUGGGGUGCGUGGGCUGUGUGAGCUCCCAGAGAGUCAAACCCAAACUGAGCUGACGGAAUAGCUGUAGCCUCAAGCACCCCAGCAAAAACCUCCUGUGCUGGAGGCUUAAACUGCUGAUUAUACAGAGCUGGCUGGCCCUGGAUCACAGUCGAGGUGCUGGCUCAGGCCAUGGUUAAAUGUGCAAGAGAAACAGAAAAAAUGCUGUGCUAGAUGGGGUCGAUGCAUCAGUCACUUCAGAGAGAGGUGAAACCUACAAACAGCAGCCAUGUGUUGCUUACUCCCCCUCAAUUUUUUCUGUUAAUCCCAACAAUCCUGUACUGGUGGGUUUAUGGAAGUGUAAGACUGGGAUCCCCUCCGACCCCUCUUAAAAUAACUUAUGUGAGAGCUCCACACACGCUUUUAGUGAGCAACUGCAACACUCUUUCCACUGCAACUGCUGAAGCAAGGAUGAUGAGAAGGAGGAAAGGGAAGGUUGUGUGAACCAGCAGUUAAUACUGAAGGACAAAAAUAUUUAAAAGUUUAGUGUCACAGCAUUAAUUUACACAAAAUAAGAAGCAUUUCUCCUUAUUGAGUGGAUAUAUUGCAGGAGUAUAUGACAGGACAAGCAGGGCAAAUGCAUGCUACAGUGAAACAAGAGUUAAACAACAUCAAAUCAUCCCUGUGAUGGAUCAUUAAGGAUGUGGAGUCUAAAUGUGUGUAAAAUUACAGCAUCGUGCAGAUGCUCCUAUACCAAUGACUUAUUUUACAUAUUGCAAAGUAUAGAGGUAAUUCCUAGUAGCAAAUGCACACCAAGACCAACCUAUCCCACAGUGGAUGCACAUUUGGAAUCUUGGACAAGGUGAAUUUUGAGGGGUGAGGGGGACUGAGCUGAACUGCUGCUGCCUGGGAUUACAGCUGCCUUCAGCUGGAAAUGGGACUUGUUUCCCUGCAACCUCCCCACUUCAGGCCAGCCAUGUGUACAGUAGGGAUGGAUCAACAAGGAGUGAGAAAGGGUAAAUAAAAGACAGAGCCAGGACUAAAUACAUAGAUGCUGAGGAAUUAUCUUUUUCACAUGAAUAUAUAUUGUAAAAAAAUUUAAAACAUUCCUCCUGCUAAUUAGUGUUUCCUCGGCACUGUGAAAACUACAGCUGUAGGAAGAAUUCAGGAAAAGUAAUCAGCAGCACAAUUAAGCAAUCUGCCAUAAUGACAGAACACAACUUUAGGGAUAGAAUAAUCAGAAACACAUGUAUUUCUCCUUGAUUUUCAUUUCCCACCCAAUGAUUUGCCUUUGCAGGGUGUAUAUAAAGCAAUGCCUGAUAAAAAUGCCCAUUUUUCUCUGCUACAGCUUGUAGACCUUGAUGCAGUGAGGAUGCCCAUGUUAAAUUCCUGCCAAUCACUUACAACGAAUGUUAUUUUUACUGUCAUUUUUGAAAACCUAAUGUUUGAUCUGCUUUAAUCCUAAUUUUGCCACCCUGUCUCAUAUAAACUCCUUUAAGGUAGAAGGUCCAGCUCCUUUAAGUGGAAGGUAUCCAGACAAGAAAUCCUGGAGCUGAGGUCCCUUUUUUUCCUGCCAGCCAUCCCACCCAAGGAAGCAGAGCAGGGAGAUGCUUCACACUGUGUUUGUGCAACCUCCAGCUCUGCUCAGGAGAGGAAAACGCCUACACCUGUGAGCAGACAGUGAGGGGAAUGGCCCUGACCUGCUCCAUCUGCACAAGCUGUUUUCCCAGAGCUCUCUCAAGCUGCAGGAGCCCACAAGGAAGGUAAGUUCCCUCCAAGGAGGUGGUUUGGAACGGAGAAGAGAAAUAUGGCCCUUGAGAAAAGGGUCUCAUGCGUUUCAGCUCUCUGCCAGUCAUGGACCAAGGCUGGUUGGAAAGAAGCCACAGGAGAGAGGGAAGCUCCCCUGUGUGUUGCUGUGGGCAGGUAGGUGUUCUCCUUGAGCUCUGCUUGGGGGUUUACUGGCUGUGGGGAGGGAGUUCUCAUGAAAAACUGAGAAAGAAACAGUUUUGGUGGAGUCAGGAGUGAUCUGUAUGCUGUGGUAGGCCGGUUGUUAACAGUGGGACUCGAUGAGUUUUGUGAUGGUAAUUCCCAGGAGCUGGCAAUAUUGUUACUGGAGAUGGCCACCAGCCUUUCCUUGGGAGGUGGUAGCUCUGCAGUCCUUCCAGGAUGGUAGAGCAGGUGGGAUUGCUGCUGAAGGUGUCUGGAUGGAGCUCCUAACAUGUGCUCUGUUCAGCUGAGGUGUGUUGGUGCCCUGUUAUCCUCCCACAAUCAUGGGUUUCCUCCUGCUCAUUCCUAGAUGGAGCUUUUGGUUAUUAUUCCCCUGUAUAGAAAGACUUGGCUGGUCCUGGAGGUUCUUAGAGGUUCUCAAGUUUGUAACCUCUGGUAUAAGAGAGGGCCUCAGGUGUUUUGAAUUUACACGUGGCUGCUAAAAACUUAGCUUCCAUCAGAAAUAAACUAGGAACUGUAAAUAUUAUACUGAGGAGUCUUUAUAAAUGCAAUUCUCUGGUUUGCGUCCUACAUAACCUAAUGAAAUGACAACUAUGAAGUUAUAUAUUUCAGUAAUUAAAUUUUCAUAAUGGGAUAAGUGCAGCUGGCAGCCCGGAACUUUGAUAACCUGAAAAACUUUUAUUUUUGCCUUAAGGGAUAAGCUUGAGAUAAAAGCUUAAAGAAACACCUAGCAUAGAGGAGCCCAACACCUCCUCAUGUGCAGGAAGAUGUGAGUUCCACCUGCUUCAGGCACUAAUGAAAAAUCUUAGUGCUACUUAAAUCAGUUUCUGGUAUUUGUCUUAGUGUGGCAAAAGAUAGGGUGUCUUGGUGGCCAGAUUCUUAUGUCACUAAAGCUGGUGAAAAGUCACAUUACCAUGAUCCCUCCCAGAGCUCUCGGAUCAGAGCUGAUACUCUUCUGCAUGCUCCUUUGUCAUCAGAGACACUGGCUUGCAAACAAACAUACAUACACAGACCUGUUCCUCCUUUUCCUGCGUGCCCAUGUUAGUGGAAAUCAUUGGGAUCACCAGGUCCAGGGAGCAGAGAUCUGUCUAUAAAACUCGUUCACAAAAUCCUAAAUCAUGGAGGAAUGCUGGCUUAAUUUUUCAUCUGAGUAUCAGCUGAAAGUAAUGUAAACCCCAAAUUAAUGCAGACAAUUCCUAGUCUGGUCUGCAGGCCCUCUGUAUUUCUGAAUUCUUUUCUACUAAAACUCAAUAAAAACAUGGGGGUGGGAAGGUGCUGCUGGGAAUUUGCUUUUUGUUCUGCUUAAGUGCUGUAUUUCUCAGCAGUCUUCAAGUUGCUCAGCAUGAAGAUAUUGUUACAUUAGAACUACUGUGGGUUUAACACAAUUCGGAAUUUGCAGGCAAAUGGAUAUAUUGUGUUGGGGCUUAUCCACAAAGGACUGUGAAACUACAAAUUACAACCCAGCUGCAUUUUCUUAUCUGGAUUUUUUUCCCCACAUGUGCCUGUGAGUCCUCUCCUGUUCACAAGCAGAAGGUGUAAGGAGAAACCCAAGUGAGAAAAAGAGACAUAGGCCUGAAGUCAGAAGGGAUCCUGACACUGGAGAUCCUGCCCAUGUCCAUGGAUGCUUUCCAUUAGCAGAGGAUGUGAUGCCUCUGGAUUUAGUGUUUUUGUGAUUGCCUGAGAACUUUGUUUCUGUCAUUCUCCCUAGGAAACUGUGGCAGAUGGGGUAAUAGUUAACACAUCCACUGAAGGCUUCUCUGACAAGGAGGAAGAAGGGGGCUAUUGAUUCUCAUGGAUUGCUAAAUAUGGAAAUAAAACAUAGGAUCCAUGCAUGUUAUGUUCUCAGCUGUUCUUCAUCCUCACUCUUCCUCUUUGAAGGGAAUGAAAAACCCCAAGCAGGUCCAUAUGGGAGAGGUAGGAGGCACUUACACUCUGCAGUAGUUUGAGACAAGGCUUUUAGCAGCCCUUGCUAGUCCUGGGCAGGUUUUUCUGACCUUGUCCCAGUUACAGAGCUGGGGCCAGGUUAUGUACCAGAGCCCUGUGCCACAAGCAUGGAUACCUGGCUUGGAGACAGCACUGGAACAAGCAAGUCUGUCUGGGCAGAGGUGCUGCACCCUAGAGAGACAAGUUCUUGUCUUUCAUUCUUCAAAGCAAAGGGCCAUAUUAGCUGAUCUGAGUGAUACUCUGCACACCUGCUAGCCAGUAAUAGGCUGAAAACUCAGUGACCCCACCAUAAUGUUGUUAUGUUUAUUUGCUUCCUUUCAAAUGGCUGUUCUAUGAAGGAUGCUGACAAAUGGGACCUGAACUCAUGCAUUUAGUGGGCCAGGAAAUAAAUAUAUCAGAGAGACAGUACUUCUUUGGACUCUUCUGAGACUUGGGAGUUGCUGGCUAUUCUGUUUGCUGGCUCAGUUUAAGCAGCAGAAAUGUCCAUGUGUUCUGUCAAAGCACUUUACUUGUGACAGGUAAAGUGCUGCCCUGACCUAGAAAACCAUUCAGAGCAAAUAAAUGCAUUAAUUCAAUGUGGAGUAUCUUAUAUUUGAUACACACCACUUCCUAAUCACUUUACUGAACAUCUGGAUUGCCUUGAAAUAAAACCAGUGAUGGCGUCAUCUGCAAUUUGGACAUGGGAUCCAUUUCGGGAGGCUUUUUCCAGGAGUGCACCUCUUGGAUCUUGGUAUGAUUUAGGUUGGGUCCUACAGGUCUAAUCCAGAGUAAAUACAAUUAAAGGUUGCUUCACUGCUGAAGGAGGACAGAAAGUAGCACACAGGAGCCAGCUGGGCCCUUUGAUACUUGUAGUCCAAAUUGUAGAAUCAUAUUAAAAAAUGCAGAUGUUACCAAAGAACAGGGAUUUUUCAUAUGGCGGAAGCAGGGUCUGUGUCCCUUUCUCUUAGGGCAGUACAGGUAUGUUCUGGCAGAAAAAAUGGGAAAAAUUCAUUUUGACUGUUAACAUGGUACAAGAGGCUGAAGUUAACCCUGUUGUGCUGGUAAAAGUUACAAAGGAACACCAAGGGUGCAGAGACACUGCAGUGGCUGCUGUGUGUGAGAAAAAGCAAUGACUUAAUGAACGAGAGAUGCACUCACACUGCAACUCAGGCUCAGCUGAGCAACGGCAAGAGCUAUUUGCAACAUCUUUUUGUCAACAUCUGUUUGUCUCUGAGUUCAUGGGAGUGAAAAAAUUCUCAUUGAUUUUUUUUUUGCUUGUGUUGAAAUUUUGCACAAUUCUUUCUGUUAUUUUGGCAGCCAAAAUGAUACUGGAAUGUUUCACCUUCUUUUUCCAAGUUUUUGAGCUGAGUUGUUCAGUUGAGGUUUGUCACAUAAACCAUGAGGUUUUACUUCUGCUGCUAGCCAAAGUAUAAUCUUUAUAUCAUAAGUCUUUUGUUGUUUAUUUCUUUUUCUUUAAAACUCUGGCUUCUGGAAUCAUGAGAAUGCAUGAAAAUCUCUACUCCUACUUUCUGUUGUGUUUGUUUUCCCUUGAGAUUUUUAGCACUGAGAACUGUGGAGAAACUUCUGGGUGCCAUCUGAGAGAUGAAAAAUUGAAUACAUUAAAUUUUGUUUGUUUGUUU